GAGCAAUCAUGGCUCAGUAGUAGAGCAUCUGCUUGGUGUGCAGAAGAGUCUGAAUUCAAUCCUUGGAAUGAUCA
rnacentral:tRNA from 1 species